rnacentral:sRNA from 1 species
GUUAAGUGCUUGCAGAGUAGUUUGGGAGUCAUGUAUUUAAGAUGUGAUGUUUUCCCCUUUGCAACUUCUCAGUGCUUGAGCCUUUAUUAUUUGAUAGAAUUUUGUCUAAAUGUACAAGCUGUAGUAUAAUGCUGUAACUUUUUUUCUCUCUAGAUUCUAGUGCUUGUUCAAGACAGUGGCCUCCCACAUCGUCAAGACUUCACUGUAGUAAACGUCCAUGUAAACCGUAACCUAAAUCCUCCAUUUUUUACGCAGUUAGACUACAACUUCCAGGCUUAUGAGGAUGACCCUCUUGGUAUAACGAUUGGAACAUUACUUGGUGUGGAUAAUGAUCUUUAUUCUCCAUGGAAAGAUUAUUACUUCAGACUAGUGUCAGCACAUCCUUAUUUCACUAUUAGCCCCAUGGGUGCAGUGUAUGCUUAUAAAGACCUAAUAUUUGACACUUCUUACACUGAAUUGUAUAAUCUUACAGCACAAAUCUAUGAUGGUGGAAUUCCUCCGUUAGCUGGAAGUCAGACAGCCGCCAUUAACAUUAGAGUCUUUAGAAACAAGAACUGUCCAAGGUUUACAAAUCUGCCCAACAGUAUCACAAUUAAAAGGAACACAACAGUUGGGACUGUCAUUUACAAAGUGCAGGCUUAUGAUAAUGAU